rnacentral:rRNA from 1 species
ACUCCUACGGGAGGCAGCAGUGGGGAAUAUUGGACAAUGGGCGCAAGCCUGAUCCAGCCACGCCGCGUGGGUGAUGAAGGCCUUCGGGUUGUAAAGCCCUGUCGGAGGGGACGAAGUCUUCGGAUUGACGGUACCUUCCAAGAAAGCACCGGCUAACUCCGUGCCAGCAGCCGCGGUAAU